CUGCAGCAUCAGUCCAUAUGACCGGGGAGGAAUCUGAUAGGGGUAUAAGAAGCAUGGCUCUUCCAUUCCAACGUAAGAGGAACCACAGCCACAUGUGCAGAUCUGCCUUGGCGUGUGCAUCUAGGGAUAAAGAGCUAGUGGCAGUAUUGAGUAGAGAGAGAAAUCACAACAAUCUAGAAAUUAAUGCCCGACCUUGUGGAAUAAUUUUCAUGGCAAAGUUCAACGUUGGUCUGUAAGGUCUGUCCUGGUACAUGUGUCCUUGGCCAGAAAAUAUUCCACCAAUUCUACGAUUUGCCGCACCUUCUCCCCUGGUAAACAACCCUGUAAAGAGACAGUGUCUAGGUGAAUACCCAGGAAGGUUAGAUUGGUGGUAAGGCCUAUGGUUUUCUCUUGGGACAGUGGGACCUCCAAUGCUGCAAAUUGAGCCAGGGUUUUGUGAAGACUGACGGGACAGGAUUGAGGUGAUUCUAUGGUAAGGAAGUUGUCCAAAUAAUGUAGAACUGAGGGACAUUCAGCGAUGUUUAGGAGCAGCCAACAUACAACCUGUUUCAAAUUAUUAUGCAAAUUAUA